AUUGAACGCUGGCGGCAUGCCUUACACAUGCAAGUCGAACGGUAACAGGUCUUCGGAUGCUGACGAGUGGCGAACGGGUGAGUAAUACAUCGGAACGUGCCCAGUCGUGGGGGAUAACGCAGCGAAAGCUGUGCUAAUACCGCAUACGAUCUACGGAUGAAAGCGGGGGAUCGCAAGACCUCGCGCGAUUGGAGCGGCCGAAGGCAGAUUAGGUAGUUGGUGAGGUAAAGGCUCACCAAGCCUGCGAUCUGUAGCUGGUCUGAGAGGACGACCAGCCACACUGGAACUGAGACACGGUCCAGACUCCUACGGGAGGCAGCAGUGGGGAAUUUUGGACAAUGGGCGCAAGCCUGAUCCAGCAAUGCCGCGUGCAGGAUGAAGGCCUUCGGGUUGUAAACUGCUUUUGUACGGAACGAAAAGGCUUCUUCUAAUACAGGAGGCUCAUGACGGUACCGUAAGAAUAAGCACCGGCUAACUACGUGCCAGCAGCCGCGGUAAUAC
rnacentral:rRNA from 1 species